GGGGAGUGAUUGCUUCCUACAAGACCACAAAACAUGUACAUUUCUAGACAUCUUUGAAACGUGAGUCAGUGGUUUCUUGCAUCAAACACCAUUUCCAGUCACCUCCUGGUCUGAAGGACAAGUGGAUAAACAGGUUCACGUCAAGUCCUGCGUGUGUUUUUUUUUUCAAAGGUCUCAUGAAAUGUAGGUCUACACUGAACACCACACAUUGGCUGCUACUGUAGGCUGACUGAUAGAACAGCUAUUUCCAUGUUAAACAAAUUGCACUGUCUGUCUGUAUUAUCAGCACCAGACAACAGUUUUUCUACAUGAAUGUACCAGUAAGAUUGAUAAGAGUAAUCUUGUUAGUAUUUGAAUAUACGCACAUGUGUACACUUUGUUUAUGAUGACCUGAAACAUGGAAUAUUACAUCAAAAGAUGUGUAAAUAAAGUCUAACCUUGGCAGCACACAGCAUGGCAGAGUGGUCAACAUCUUCCAUGGGUUUAUAUUCCAGCACUAUGUCUCCAUCCUGGUAGAAAUGACGAGAAGGAAUGUUCAGUCUGAUCUGUGGACAUCAUAACAGGGAAAGAUAAAUCUCAUUCUGUUGUUCCCUAUCGACAUACCUGGUCCAGGACACGCAGGGAUCCUGAAGUCAGAGAGUCCUGCUCCUCACUCCUUUCUGGGUUGCCCAGGACCUCCACAUCCGGCAUCUUCACCUGUGGGAUCAUCUGAGACCAGCCACCUGGACAGCUGAUGAAACUGAGGAGUAUUUAUUUCUGUAAGAAAGCCUUUUUGGGGGGAAAAACUCAUUCUGAUUGGCUGGGCCUGGCCCCCCAUCUGUGCCCCUUCCCAGUCAUGUGAAAUACAUAGAUUAGGGCCUAAUGAAUUUAUUUCAAUUGACUGAUUUCCUUAAAUGAGCAGCAGCUCAGUAAAAUAGUUGAAAUAGUUGCAUGUUGCAGUUCUACAUAAGUUCAGUAUAUAUAAAUAUAUAUAUAAACAUGGAAGGAUCAUGCCUGUAACAUGUUAGGAUCACGUCUGUAACAUGUUAGGAUCACACCUGUAACAUGUUAUGUUUCAUUUCUACUUUAGUUCAGUAUAUAUAUAUAUAAACAUGUUAGGAUCACGCCUGUAACAUGUUAUGUUUCAAUUCUACUUUAGUUCAGUAUAUAUAUAUAAACAUGUUAGGAUCAUGCCUGUAACAUGUUAGGAUCAUGCCUGUAACAUGUUAGGAUCAUGCCUGUAACAUGUUAGGAUCAUGCCUGUAACAUGUUAGGAUCAUA
ensembl:lncRNA